ensembl:lncRNA
UCUGCCUCCUGUGAGCCAUCCUCCUUACCUUCUCUGUGGUCCCAUUGGGCUGCUGAGUAGAGGAGUGGGGGUGUGAAAUAAUAUCCUUGAGCAUGGUGGAAAGAGGGAGGGGAUCAGCACUGCCCUAGUCCCUCUGACUUUCUAAAACAACUCUUGGGGUAGAGGAGCUAGCCACUUGCCCACAGAGAGCUUCUGUGUGUCAUCUUUGACACCUGUGCCAUAGAUUUGCCAUAAUUGCUCUAGAGUUUCAAGGUGGCUAAAGUGGAAUGGAGAGGAGUGAGGGAAAUGAGAGAGACAUUAGCAUUCAUGGCACUGAUGUUACUAUUAUUCUUGUGAAACCUAAAUGGGAACAUCUGAGAGAUAUGGAAGAGUUCAGAAGGUAUUAAGGAUAUAGGUAGCCAUUGCUAGUUUUGGGAUGCAGUCAUCACUCAAGACCUUUGGUGCUUCUCAUAUUUAAGACUUCAGGAGGUUUGCAGUAUGACCUGUAGACAAGAUACUCAGAGAGCAGAAGGAAGCAUAAGACAACCCCCUACCCUCUUUCCUAAAUGAACCACUUUGUUAUGACUGGCAUGAAUAUCAGCUCUAGAACUACAGUCUAAUAAGAGAACCUGAUUCUUUCUGCAGAUAACCUCCAAGUGGAAGAGAUGCUGGUGCAGUCUGCAGAACAACUGCCUACAAUUGCUGCUUGCUGAUCUUAAAGCUUAGUUACCCCUGUUUCCUGUCUGUGGUAACAGAGGCUAUUCUGUCUUUCAGAAAAGUCUUCAGAAAGUCUUGUCUAAAUUCGAAUUGAGAAGCUGCCACAGUUAAUGGCUUCCAGGAAACAAGGUACUGGGAUUUCCCAAGAAGCAAUAGUUGAACCUACUCUGGUCUCUGCCUUUAGAGUUGCACAGAAGUCACAGAGCAAUGUGUAUGUGAAAUGUCAACAGAGACUAUGGCUCAUUCUUGGAAGCAACCAUCUGCAUCAUCAUCAAAAAUUAUUCGUUAGAUGCCCAUCUGUUCAUGGAUUUCAACAAUAUCAGCAGACUACCAUGAGAAACACUUUCUUGACCCCAAUGCUGGAUGAAACAGUCCCUAAUUGUGAUAAGGAAACUGAGAAAAAGAGAAAUUAAGUGAUUUGCCCAAGGUCAAAAGAAAAAAAUAAUGGUAUUCCGGGACUUCAGGUCAAGAUGGCAGCUUAGAAACAGAAAAAGUUCAGACCUCUGAAAACCCUUCCUUACUGAUCACAAACUGAAUGCUCCUAGGGGACUGAAAUUCAAACCAAACAACAGGACAGAGCCAGGGAACCCUCCUUCUGGACUCAAAUCAAAAGGUAUACCCCCAAAAGCCAGAAUCCUAGAACACUCGGAUCUAAGGGGAAGGCAGAAGGAAGGUCCCAGAACCCCUCCCCCCCAACCCAGAGUGCUGAGCCCCCAGCAGCAGCGGGAACCUCAAGGCCGGCAAAGGUGCUGUUCUGAAGGGUGCACCUUGAAAGCAACCUGGGCCAGGCUCGGGGCAUCCAACACUGAUGGCAGGGAAGCAGCUUGAGAGAGACGGGAGGAACCUGUAGCCCUGUGGGUGGGUCCUUCCAUUGGAGUCUCACCAGAGGUUUUUGCCUUGGGGCACAUCCAGACCAACCCAGUUGAACCUAAUCCCAUCAGGAGCCCUCAGAGCUCAGGGAGGUCAGGACCCCUUCCCUCCUCCCCCCCAGAGUGCAGAGCUUCUCAAAAGGACAGGAACCUCAGGGCAGGCAAAGGCAUUGGGGUACCUUGAGGACAGUGCUGUGCCAGGCUCAGAGCGUGGAAGUAAGGCAGUGGAGAAGCAGCUGGAGAGAACUGAGAGCAGUAAUACCUGAAACACCGGCAGGCAGGUGAGGGCAGACUCUGGGCUUCCCCGGGAAGACAGCGCAGCUGCGCAGAACAGACAGUUUUCCUGGGGCUAAAGCAUCAGAUCAUCAGAAGCAUACACUAAGAGCCAACACUCCUCACUCAGAUUUCUGACUGGAAAGGGGAGGAAAAACCAUAGAGAUGGCAAACAGUGCAGAGGUGCAAAGCCUCCAAACACCAAGAAAAGCAAGAAGAAGGGGGUGACUUUGGACACAUUUUAUGGAGCAAAAAUGCAAAAUACAGAGGAGAUAGAAGAGGAAACAUAAACAAAUGC